rnacentral:rRNA from 1 species
UACGGAGGGAGCUAGCGUUAUUCGGAAUUACUGGGCGUAAAGCGCACGUAGGCGGCUUUGUAAGUAAGAGGUGAAAGCCUGGUGCUCAACACCAGAACUGCCUUUUAGACUGCAUCGCUUGAAUCAUGGAGAGGUGAGUGGAAUUCCGAGUGUAGAGGUGAAAUUCGUAGAUAUUCGGAAGAACACCAGUGGCGAAGGCGGCUCACUGGACAUGUAUUGACGCUGAGGUGCGAAAGCGUGGGAGCAACAGG